GAUUUGAAACUAUUGCUUGGCUGAAAACAUCGGGCUCCCCAUCUAGAAUGUGACUCCAAAGGGACUCACCAAUUUGGGCUCCUUCCAGAGCUGAAAACUGGUUACAAAUAUGAAACAGAUUUCACUACUGGACUUGAACUCCCAUAAAAAAACAACACGAUUCUCAAAAUAAUUGAAAAAGAUCUUCACCAAAGAGAAGAUGCAGUGUGAAUGGCAGGGAAUCAAGGAAGUAAGAGGUUUCAGUGUCCAGUCUGACACAGAGCAGACGCUGGAAUGUUGGUGGAAUGGAUGCAGAAUCUCUCUCCAUGCAUCACCAGCACAAAGACAGCAGAGCAAUGUGUGUGGGGGCAUACCAUUUAAAAAUGCUGAGAUUCGCCUCUUCCUUCGCCAGCAAAUCCUGAACUCCGUUUACCACCUCCUGCAAUUCCUAGACACGAGGAAGUUGGAAGAAUACUCAGUAUCUGGAACACAAAGCAAGCACUUGAUAUUUGUUGAAUUCCUUUCCUGAGGGAUAUCUGGAGCACGAGGACGUAAACAAGACACACAACCUAUUUAAAGUCUCUGUUCUCACACCUAGCCAACAUUUUGUAAACCAGUGCAGGUCACAUGGAUAAGCCUAACAUCCAUGGGGGGUAAGGAUGCGAUUAUUUUCUACCCAUAGUUACUUGUCACGUGGAUGUAUAAUGUAGCAGGGAAGGAAUCAAAAAUCGAGAACAGUUCAACUUAUGCACAUGAAAACAAGAAAAUAUCAACUAGUAUACAUGCUGUGAAGAAAAUGCAGAGUAGUGCUUAGAGAAUGCCUGAGAAGCUAUUAAGCAUAGUUUCUUGGAGAUGACAUUUACCCUGAGGCUGAAGGCCUUCCAGUUGGAACCAAGCAGUGCCAAGGACAAGUGGAUUAUUUGUCAAAUAUGGAAAAAACACUUUUGGUGGGACCCUGAGGUUACUCACACUGAGGCAGCUCAGCCCCUGCUCAGCUCCCGUGCCACAGGGAGGGCAGGAAUCCUGCCAGGAGGAGCACUUGGGUCCUCGCUCCUACCCACCCCUGGUGGACGCCAGCUGCCUGCACUGCCCGCAGAGGUGAGCCUGGUCCCCGCCCAGGAGAAUGACGGGUUAAAAACCCAUAGGACGGUUCAAUCCAAGGCAUUGCUUUGCUGUGGCCUGUGCGCCAUUGUAUGUUGGAACACAUGCUGGUAGGAGACAAAGAGGACACACGUUUAUUUUCAAGCGUAGGACUUCGGAACCACUUGGGAAGAAUAUUCUUGAUUGAGAACCAAAACAUUCCAUGAUGCUUAACAAACCUGCAAAUUGAAAAAUCAGCAUCGGCCCGUGCAGCCCGGAGGCAGGAGAAGGACCUAUAUACCCUGAAACGUUUUUUUUCUCUCUCCAAAUAUUCCUUAAAUGAUAUUUGUGUGCAUUUGCAAAAUUACUGCUUUCUGAAUCAAAGUGGCAAGCUAUUUGCCUCUGAGAACAUGUGUUGUGCCGUCAGACAAUACCUCAGCCCUGGGCCGCCCGCGACAUACCCGGCCGCAUCGCAUAAUGGACAGUCCUGCGAAGGCGCCGCAGCUCAGUCAAUGCCUCUGUAAUAAUAUUUUAAAAUAAAUGAUAUGCAUCAUUAAAUCACCGAGGAUGACUAACUCAAUUUUAGAAAACCCACAACUCCAGCAAUCAUAGUUACAGCUCUGAUUUGAAUAUUUUCCCUUUCACCUGAGCAGCCAGUGGGAGCCAGCCGAGCAGGCAGGCAACCCGGCUGUACUCUCAGAGGGGCAGGAAGGAACCUGUGAUUAUGUAGUUACAGUAACGUCGGCGAGAAGCCUCCUGUCCGCCUGGGCUUUUUAGGCUUCUCCUUCCUCCCUUCUUGACUUCUUAUUUACAUAUCACAGGCAUCCUCUUUGUAAAGUUAUUUUAAAUAAUUUAUUAGAUUGAUCUUUUUAAAAUUCUACCCUGGCUAAAUGUCAUAAGGAAGAAGAAGGAAAAAAAAAAAGUCUUCGAAACUUAUAUAAAGGUUUCUACUGGAGCAGGCCGGUUACCUGCUUCACUGCUGAUAUUCUAAAAAUACCUCCAUGUCCGUACUAUUAUCCAUUCUUCACGUCCAAUUGCUCUGUUAUGGUAAUAGUCAGAAGCACACCAUGCAGUAAUUACUUACAGCUGACUGGAGAAAAGAAUAUUCAACUCCCCCACUGUUCCACUAGAAGGUCUUUAUGCACUAUUAACUCAUUCCUGUUUAUUAAUACUCUACUGGUAAUUCAGACUGCUGCCUCUUAGGUUUGUAAUAGGAGGACUAUUAAACAGCAAUUACUGAC